GCUGGGCGCAGUGUCGUGUGCCUGUAGUCCCAGCUACUCGGGAGGCUGAGGCUAGAGGAUCGCUUGAGUCCAAGAGUUCUGGGCUGUAGUGUGCUAUGCUGAUCGGGUGUCCCCACUAAGUUCAGCAUCAAUAUGGUGACCUCCCAGGAGCGGGGGAACCACCAGGUUGCCUAAGGAGGGGUGAACUGGCCCAGGUCCGAAAUGGAGCAGGUCAAAACUCCUGUGCUGAUCAGUAGUGGGAUCAUGCCUGUGAAUAGCCACUGCACUACAGCCUGGGCAACAUAUCGAGACCUUGUCUCU
rnacentral:SRP_RNA from 1 species